UCCUCCUCCUCCUCCCUCCCUCUCUCUUUCUUUCUGCUAUUCUUUGUCUGUUCUCUCAUUCAGCCUUCUCAUCCUUCUUCUCUCUCCUUCCUACCUCUGCCUCAUGGAUCCCCGCUGCCUUGCUCACAUGCAGGAUCAGUCCGGUGUCAAACCGACAACCUCCCUCACUUCAGGUCCUGUCGGCGGUUGCCGCGGCGGCAGACAUAGUAAUAAUCCCCGUGGCAACAGCUCUCUCUCCCCUCGUCGACUGCUCGCCCGUUCCUGUUGUAACAACAGCUAAGCUGCUGCUCGCUCGCCCUCCUCCUCCCUCUCUCUCUCUCCCUCCCUCUCUCUCUCUCUCUCUCUCUCUCUCUAUCAAUUUCUCCUUUUACACCUCCUGUUCUCUUCCUCCCCCCUCCUCUGCUUCCCAUCUCUAGCUCUUUCCAUCCCUCCCUCCCACCCUCUUUUUCUAUUGUCUCUCUCUCUCUCUCUCUCUCUCUCUCUCUCUCUCUCUCUCUCUCUCUCUCUCUCUCUCUCUCUCUCUUUCUCCCUGUUCCUCACCUUCCUCCUCCUCAGUUUACAGGUGAACAGAAACAGAGAAUAAAGAUUCGUUCCUCUUGCUGAUCAACUUUCUGUCUGGACAUUGAUUGUUGAUGAUGAAGACGAUGAAGAAGAAGCAGAAAUCGUUUCAGGGUCAGAAGGAGAUGAACUGACCGACACAUAAACUCCUGAGGAACCACUAGAACCUAUGGACUAAAACAUCCUAAACACAGAACAACCUACAGAACCUCUAGAACAUUCUCAUCAAUCCCUAAAACCUCCUGAAGGAUUCUGGGAACCUCGUCACGGACCUGGGAACCUUAUUCAGAUUCUGUGAGUAAUGAUCUGAGGUGGUGAGGUGAGGUAUGGAACCUCUGCCCAGGUCCAUCUGGGAUGAAGAACCGGUUCUACUGUCAAUCUGAAGUCUCUAAUAACACGAUCAUUACUCAUCCUGAUAAGUUGUUUUAUUUUGUUCUCCGGUGUCAAGAAAAACUCAACAAGAAAUAAAUCAUCAGGUGUUUGAUGAUUUAUUGUAAAUCACUUGAUUUUGAUGAUGUGACCACGAUCUGAAGAUGCUCCAUCAACUUCCCUCUGUUCUAGUCGAAGUUGCCUGAACCACAGCUGUGAGAACAUCAGGAGACAUCUGUACUUUCAGAGUGUGUUGGAGAUGGAGCUGGUGGAAACACAGAGGAUCUCCUGAGACGUCUGUGAUAUGAAACAUCAGCAGGAGAGUGAGGAGGCGAUGGACGUUUACAUCUGAUGCUCCUGCUGAGCCGCUGACAUCCUCCUCAUCAAUAAAGCAGCCGGAGAGUUUCACAGCGAUGAGAGCGACUCCACUUCCACACACAGAUGAAUGAUUCAGACCUGGACACCGUGUGACUGUUCAAAAUAAAACAUUAAACCUCUCUGAGCAGGAGGCCGCUCAGGGUUCUCCUCAUUAUAUCAUCACAUCCUCUGGAUUAACUGGGUCCUGCUGGUUGAACAACUCAGCUGCUCUCCCACCAACACAUUGAUUUACAAUAGAGACUAAAGCCAAAGUCCUCGGUCACAGUCAGACGCUCGAGGCCGUUUUCUCUCCAGGAGAAGAUUGUUUAUUUUCAUAUGAACACUUUCCGCUGAUGAGAGUUGUGUUAAUCAGCUGAUUACUGACGGAGGAGACGGAGACGUUUAUGAUACUGUAAAUAAAGAUGGAGGACACGUCUGCACCUCACAUCAGAGACGAACGCUGUCAUCCUGAGAGUCUGUGCAGCAGUGAACAGACGCUCUCAACCAAUCACGAGUCAGUCGCAGCUGUCAAUCAUCACGACUCAGCCACGCGUUUAUAUCAUCAAAUAAUAAAACAGAUUCGUAAACCGUCGACCUCCGACCUCCAGGAAAUGACUAAACCAGAAGCAGGAAUAAUAAGAAUGGAGUCGAGUUUUAGGUGGAACGUGAACGUGGUGUCACUACAUUCAUGCUUAGUGUCGGACGUCUGCACAAACAGUCAGGACACGAUGUUCGAAGCAGAGGCAGGAAGAAAGAAGCACAAAAAACAAGAAGGAAGUGAAGUGAGGAAGAAAGAAAGGAGGUGAAAAGAGAACGAGAGCGGCAGUGAGGAGAGAAAGAAGAAGUGUGAGAUGAGUUAUCUGACUAAUGAACUGGUCUUAUCUCUGCUGGAGGACGGGCGGAGACACAUGUGGAGCGAGAGACGGAUCAGAUGGAUCCACGGUCUUUUGUCCUCGAGUGAGACGCUGCUCACACACAGAGAAACAGGAGGAGAUGAAGUGUGGAUGAAACGAGUCGACAACACGAGUCAACACGUCCGUUAAGAAGAGAAGAAGAGACUCGAGGAAACUGUUGUUACCCGUCCACAUCGAGGACAUCAGGGUUUUCAUGAAGGAACAGUCAUAAUAAUAAUAAUGUCCCUUUGAAAACUGCUGGAUCAGAAGAAAUCUGAAAUCAUUCAAUCCAUUUCAAAAUUAAUUGCAAGCAGGUUUUUCUUCAAACUGACUGUGGAUCAUUUGAAAUCAAAUUUAAAGUGCUCAUUUUUGGAGAGAGUGGGAUGUAUGCGAUGGUCACAGCGCCCCCUGAAGGCCUGGAACUGCACUUUGUAUCUCUGGUGUUAGGUUACCUGGUUAAAUACAUAAAAUAAUAUCCUC